GUGACAUCGAGUUUUUGAACGCAAGUUGCGCCCGAUGCCAUUAGGUUGAGGGCACGUCUGCCUGGGUGUCACAUAUCGAAUCCCCUUGCCAAUUUCCUAUUUAUUAGGUAUUGCGUGCAGGGUGAAUAUGUUGGCCUCCCGUGAGCUCUGUCUCGUGGUUGGUUGAAAAUUGAGACCUUGGUAGGGUGUGCCAUGAUAGAUGGUGGAUGUGUGACCCACGAGACCAAAUCAUGUGCAGCUCUAUUGAACGUGGACUCUUUUACCCACAUGUGUUUUAUAACGCUCGUGAUGAGACCUCAGGUCAGGCGGGGCUACCCGCUGAAUUUAAGCAUAUCAAUAAGCGGAGGA
rnacentral:rRNA from 3 species